UACGUAGGGUGCGAGCGUUUAAUCGGAAUUACUGGGCGUAAAGCGUGCGCAGGCGGUGAUGUAAGACCGAUGUGAAAUCCCCGGGCUUAACCUGGGAACUGCAUUGGUGACUGCAUUGCUGGAGUAUGGCAGAGGGGGGGUGGAAUUCCACGUGUAGCAGCGAAAUGCGUAGAGAUGGUGGAGGAACACCGAUGGCGAAGGCAGCCCCCUGGGCCAAUACUGACGCUCAUGCACGAAAGCGU
rnacentral:rRNA from 1 species